rnacentral:rRNA from 1 species
UACAGGGGGUGCAAACGUUGCUCGGAAUUAUUGGGCGUAAAGCGCGCGUAGGCGGCUACUUAAGUCGGAUGUGAAAGCCCCUGGCUCAACUGGGGAAGUGCACCCGAAACUGAGUGGCUUGAGUGCGAAAGAGGGUCGCGGAAUUCCCGGUGUAGAGGUGAAAUUCGUAGAUAUCGGGAGGAACACCGGUGGCGAAGGCGGCGACCUGGGUCGACACUGACGCUGAGGAGCGAAAGCAUGGGGAGCGAACAGG